AGAUGGCAAGAAAGAAAUUUAGUGGAUUGGAAAUCUCUCUGAUUGUCCUCUUUGUCAUAGUUACUAUAAUAGCUAUUGCCUUAAUUGUUGUUUUAGCAACUAAAACACCUGCUGUUGAUGAAAUUAGUGAUUCUACUUCAACUCCAGCUACUACUCGUGUGACUACAAAUCCUGAUUCAGGAAAAUGUCCAAAUGUGUUAAAUGAUCCUGUCAAUGUGAGAAUAAACUGCAUUCCAGAACAAUUCCCAACAGAGGUCUGCAGCAAAAGUCUUUAAUAUUUUUAAUGACUAUAUACAUUAUUAUAUUAAGAUAAUUGCUGAAUAUUGGAUUGAUCUUAUUUAAUAAAGGUCUAGACAUAAA
rnacentral:sRNA from 1 species